rnacentral:tRNA from 1 species
AGGCUUGUAGCUCAGGUGGUUAGAGCGCACCCCUGAUAAGGGUGAGGUCGGUGGUUCAAGUCCACAGGCCUACCA